UCUUCUUAGGCGGUGGCCCANAAAGUUACCCACCNACUUCGGGUGUUACAAACUCUCGUGGUGUGACGGGCGGUGUGUACAAGGCCCGGGAACGUAUUCACCGCGGCAUGCUGAUCCNCGAUUACUAGCGAUUCCAGCUUCAUGUACGCGAGUUGCAUCCUACAAUCCGAACUGAAAACGGUUUUNUGAGAUUAGCUCCNCCUCGCGGUCUUGCAGCUCUUUGUACCGUCCAUUGUAGCACGUGUGUACCCAGGUCNUAAGGGGCAUGAUGAUUUGACGUCAUCCCCACCUUCCUCCGGUUUGUCACCGGCAGUCACCUUAGANUUGCCCCACUUNAUGAUNGCAACUAAGAUCAAGGGUUGCNCCNCGUUGGCGGGACUUAACCCNGCCAUCUCACNGAAUCNAAGCUGGACNACAACCAUGCACCANCUUGUUCACUCCUGGCUCCCCGNAAGNGAAAAAACCCUUAAUCUC
rnacentral:rRNA from 1 species